CCUAAAUCAAUACCUUCAUGUUCGGAGCACCGACGGUCACUCUGUGCAGAGCAGCUACAGCGGCGACGGCGAGGUGGAGGGACUCGCGGCGACCAGCAGCGACUCGGAUGAAUUAAAUUCAAAGCAUAACCAACCUCGUCAUUCACACAAUCCAAAACUUCUAUCGAAAAACAAACCCAGAUGUCCUUACUCAGCCGCUAUCAAUGGCUGAUUACCCCGACGAUUUAGACGAACUCCUCGAUAGUGCUUUGUACGAUUUUCAGAAUCUCAACCUCAAUUCCUUUGUUCAAAGGAGUGAAGAUGGUGGAGAGAAGCCUACUUUGCGGUGGGGUUCAAGGUUUGGGUGGUGGGUUGCCUUAUUUGAGAAGUAAGAAGAAAGGGAAGCAGAAGGUGUCCAAGGAAUCUCAUGUUUCAGAGGCGCUUGAGAAGCUGAGGGAACAGACUCAGGAGGCUGUGCGGGAGUUAGAGUCGGCAACGGCGAAGGCCGGUGGUGAUGAUUUGGGGAAGGAUAGAAUGAUGGAGGAUUUUGUUAAGCAAUUUGAGGAGCUUUCUGGGUCUCAGGUUUGCUUGGAUUCUGAAUUGGGUCUACGGUUGUCUUGCUCUCAAUGUUGUGCUGCUGAAUUUUGCGUUUUAACUGUUCUAUUCAGUCUCUUUUCUUUGGAAUUCUGUUUAUGUUGUGG